rnacentral:pre_miRNA from 1 species
GAUUUCAACUGAAAAAGUCAUCAAUAACAAAGUUGUAUAACUCAUUAAUAUUUAUAACUUUUAUUUGGGUUAUUUCUUCAUCCAAUAAAGUGAUAGUAAUAUUGUUUACAAAUUUUACAUAUCUCUCUUAUAGUUUAUAAACUAUAUAAGAGAUAUGUACAUUUUGUGAACAAUGUUACAAAUCGCUUUGUCAGAUGAAGAAAUGACCCAAAUAAAAGUUAUAGAUCUUGAUGAGUUAUACCACUUUGUUAUUGAUUACUUUUUCAGUUGAAAUC